GGAAUUGACGGGGGCCCGCACAAGCGGUGGAGCAUGUGGUUUAAUUCGACGCAACGCGCAGAACCUUACCAACCCUUGACAUGUCCAGUAUGGUUUCCAGAGAUGGAUUCCUUCAGUUCGGCUGGCUGGAACACAGGUGUUGCAUGGCUGUCGUCAGCUCGUGUCGUGAGAUGUUGGGUUAAGUCCCGCAACGAGCGCAACCCUCGCCUUUAGUUGCCAUCAUUAAGUUGGGCACUCUAGAGGGACUGCCGGUGAUAAGCCGGAGGAAGGUGGGGAUGACGUCAAGUCCUCAUGGCCCUUACGGGUUGGGCUACACACGUGCUACAAUGGCGGCGACAAUGGGCAGCGAAGGGGCGACCCGGUGCAAAUCCCAAAAAGCCGUCUCAGUUCGGAUUGUUCUCUGCAACUCGAGAGCAUGAAGGUGGAAUCGCUAGUAAUCGCGUAACAGCAUGACGCGGUGAAUACGUUCCCGGGCCUUGUACACACCGCCCGUCACACCAUGGGAGUUGGUUUUACCCGAAGCUGGUGCGCUAACCGCAAGGAGGCAGCCAACCACGGUAAGGUCAGCGACUGGGGUGAAGUCGUAACAAGGUAGCCCUAGGGGAACCUGGGGCUGGAUCACCUCCUUUCUG
rnacentral:rRNA from 1 species